rnacentral:rRNA from 1 species
CACGUAGGGUGCGAGCGUUGUCCGGAAUUAUUGGGCGUAAAGGGUGCGUAGGCGGCGCGGUAAGUCGGGUGUGAAAUCUCGGGGCUUAACUCCGAAACUGCAUUCGAUACUGCCGUGCUUGAGGACUGGAGAGGAGACUGGAAUUUACGGUGUAGCGGUGAAAUGCGUAGAUAUCGUAAGGAAGACCAGUGGCGAAGGCGGGUCUCUGGACAGUUCCUGACGCUGAGGCACGAAGGCCAGGGGAGCAAACGGG